UGGCGGACGGGUGAGUAAUGUCUGGGAAACUGCCUGAUGGAGGGGGAUAACUACUGGAAACGGUAGCUAAUACCGCAUAACGUCGCAAGACCAAAGAGGGGGACCUUCGGGCCUCUGCCAUCGGAUGUGCCCAGAUGGGAUUAGCUAGUAGGUGGGGUAACGGCUCACCUAGGCGACGAUCCCUAGCUGGUCUGAGAGGAUGACCAGCCACACUGGAACUGAGACACGGUCCAG
rnacentral:rRNA from 1 species